GAUGCAGCGACGCCGCGUGAGUGAAGAAGUAUUUCGGUAUGUAAAGCUCUAUCAGCAGGGAAGAAAUACUGACCAUAGGGUCAGCAGACGGUACUUGACUAAGAAGCCCCGGCUAACUACGUGCCAGCAGCCGCGGUAAUACGUAGGGGGCAAGCGUUAUCCGGAUUUACUGGGUGUAAAGGGAGCGUAGACGGCAGCGCAAGUCUGAAGUGAAAUGCCAGGGCUUAACCCUGGAACUGCUUUGGAAACUGUGCAGCUAGAGUGCAGGAGAGGUAAGUGGAAUUUCUAGUGUAGCGGUGAAAUGCGUAGAUAUUAGGAGGAACACCAGUGGCGAAGGCGGCUUACUGGACUGUAACUGACGUUGAGGCUCGAAAGCGUGGGGAGCAAACAGGAUUAGAUACCCUGGUAGUCCACGCUGUAAACGAUGAUUACUAGGUGUUGGGGGACCAAGGUUCUUCG
rnacentral:rRNA from 1 species